rnacentral:rRNA from 1 species
GACGAACGCUGGCGGCGUGCCUAAUACAUGCAAGUCGAACGCAGUGGGGACGGGUGAGUAAAAAGUUGGUAACCUCCCAUCAGAGGGGAUAACACUUGGAAACCGGUGAUAUACAGAAACUGAUGGAUGGAGCCGCGGUGCAAUAGCUAGUUGGGGAGGGAACGGCUCACCAAGGCCACGAUGCAUAGCAGACAUGAAAGGUGGAUCGGCCACACUGGGACUGAGACACGGCCCAGACUCCUACGGGAGGCGGCAGUAGGGAAUCUUCGGCAAUGGACGAAAGUCUGACCGAGCAACGCCGCGUGAGUGAAGAAGGUUUUCGGAUCGUAAACCUCUGUAUUUAGGGAAGCGGUAUCUAACCAGAAAGCCACGGCUAACUACGUGCCAGCAGCCGCGGUAAUAC